rnacentral:rRNA from 1 species
UACGUAGGGUGCAAGCGUUAAUCGGAAUUACUGGGCCUAAAGCGUGCGCAGGCGGUUUUGUAAGUUUGUCGUGAAAUCCCCGGGCUCAACCUGGGAAUGGCGAUGAAGACUGCAAGGCUAGAAUCUGGCAGAGGGGGGUAGAAUUCCACGUGUAGCAGUGAAAUGCGUAGAGAUGUGGAGGAACACCGAUGGCGAAGGCAGCCCCCUGGGUCAAGAUUGACGCUCAUGCACGAAAGCGUGGGGAGCAAACAAG